CGUUGCAGACCGUCGACGCGGUCGAUACUAUUGAGUGCGGUUUGAGAAAGCCGAAGUUUCCAAUUUUUGCUAUUAAAAAAAAAGAUAAUUAGAAAAUAUUUAAGUAAUACAGAAUGUUUACUUUGCAAUAACUUCAACUUCUUAGUUAUUUCCGUUUUAUUAAGUGAGCUUUUCAGAUCACGAAAAAACUGUAUGUGAAAUAACUACGAGAUGCAGGAAGGCCUACUAAUUGGAUUUCACAUGAUCUCCUGCGUGCAAUUCGCGUUCUCCGUGUAUUAUGAUUACAUGUACACUAUUGUCCCUCCGAAUCUUCUCAAAAUGCACAACAGCUAUGGCGGGAAAUUCAAGUUCCUCACUUUCUGGGACGCGAUCAUUCAAGCGAUAUUUUUCUUCAUAUGUAUUCUGAAUGAUUGGUUCGGCACAAAUGCAGUUAGCCCUAAGAAGCCACCAUUCAUACGUAAAUUAAAGGAUCAUGUACAUGCGAUCCUCGGUUUUCCGAUCGCCAUGUUCGUUGGAAUAAUAUUCUGGACUUUAAUGUUUGUGGAUCGCGAAUUGGUGCUUCCAAAGGCGCUGGAUCCUUACUUUCCAUGGUGGCUCAAUCAUUUGAUGCACACAAUGAUCAUGGUUUCCACGCUAAUAGAAAUGAUGAUAGCCCCGAGAAAAUAUCCAAGGAAAUCAUUUGGCCUUUUGUGUUUAUUAGCCUUCAUGAUUGUAUAUUUAAUUUGGGUGCAUAUAAUUUUCUAUAAGAGCGGUAUCUGGGUGUACCCAGUACUAGAUGUGUUGCCGCUGCCGUUACGAGUUGUAUUCUUCUUUGUAAUGCUUUUAAUCACCUUAUCCUUGUAUUUGAUCGGCGAAGCAGUGGACAACUUCCUUUGGGGUAACGAAUAUACUAAAAGUAAAAAAUCUUAUGCCAAGAGCAAAUAGCCUCGCCCAUGGUGAUUAGCUGCGCUGACUUCGGUCAUACAUUAGCCUCCUCUAAGGUGGUGGUAAAUAAAAAUUAAAAACCACUUUUCUAUCUCCUCCACCUCUCCCUCCUCCUAUCAUCCUCCUGCUCCAUUUAUCCUACAUUACGGCAUGCACGCGUAUCCAAUGGAUAAAUUUUCUUUCGGAAACUCUUAAACAAAAACAUGGUAAUAUGUGCAUGCAAGAACAGAGCGCGUUAAUUUUUACCCAAAAGCAGAAAGCACGAGGAGAACGCGGUCGUUAACAACUUGUUCACUUGAAGAGGGUUGCGUGGCUGGAGCAUGUAGAUGUGACUUUUUUCUCUCGUGUGGUUUGUGACAUAUGCAACAAAGAAAAGGGAAGACUAAUUGUAAUAACUAAGUUCACUGCACACACUCUGAUGCCUGAUAUUCAUGGUGAUGUAAAUUAAAAAAUGCAAACAAAUGGAAAGUAAAAAAGAGAAAAACACGGACAAGACACAUACGUACACACGAUGCAACAGCUAGUACAUUUUUAUACGUUCGAUAUUUGUUACUCUGACAACAAAGAAAUGAAAUAAAAUUUAGAAAGAAAGGAAGAAAAUGCGUCAUAGAGAAAUGGUGAAUUGUGAACACGUGUGUGGAAUGAAUGCAUUGUUCCGCGUUUUGAAGGAAAAAAGUACGUAGCAGAAUGUAUCGGGCCGGAUUUGAAAGCAUAAUGAAGUGAGGCGAAUCGAGCAAGAGGAAUAUGCUUUUGCUGGACUGAUCGAGCAAAGAAAUCAUUAGCACGUGUACUCGUGUUCACCAAGAUUUGAUGCCAUCGAUGAUUCUCGUGUCGAAAACGUAUCGAGUGGAGAUGAGAAAUGCCGUUUUUGCAUUUAUAACAGAUUAGACUAACUUUAGAGAUCUAAUUUAGCAUUUCGUCAUUUAUAUAAUGUACAAAGAAAUAUGACGUAGUCGAUCAGGAGUACAGAGUCUGUUAACGGAUUUUAGUUAUCUUUUAAAUAAUAAGUGCAUUAAAAAAAGAAAAGAAAAAAAGAUGUAUAAUUUUGAAAGAUCUUCAUGAAUUUUCAAUAUUUAUUACUACAAAAUCAAAAUAUCACAUUAACGUGAUUGACUUUAUCUGUGAGUAAAUUGGACUCGCAUACCGGGAAGUUGUUAAACUAUAUACGGAAAAUAUCAGUUAUCGAUAACGGGUUGACCUUAUCUAUAGUUAUGUUCCAUAAAUAUAUUAGUAAAUUUCAGAAUACAUUUUCACAAAGAUACAAUGUGUUGUGCUAAUAUUUAACUGAGACAUUUUUGUUUAUAGAACUAGAUAUUUUCCAUUUAUUUCAUAAAAAAUGUUGUUUAUUAGUUGUAAAUUAGUUAUUCUAACAAUUUAUACAAAAUGGAGGCAAAAAUUAUCGAAGAAAUGAUGUAUUGCUAAAUACGUAUCGUUUUUGUUUAAUACUAUUGAAUAAAGACACCUUUUAAUGUAUUUUUUUGUUAAUAUUAUAUAUAUUUUAAAUGUUGUAUUGAACAUGUAGAAUGUAAUUUCUUUCAAUUCGUUGCACAAUUCGUCUUAAUUUUUUAAAGAACAAAUUUAAAAUAAGAAAAUAAAUUCUACUUGUACAUACAUAAAAAAAUAUUUGUAUGUGACUUAAGUACAGUAGGAUAUGCAUUUUGUAGAAUACUGUAAUAUACAGAGCAAUGUUAAAAAUAGAUUUAGAUUGUUCUUUAUAAAAAGCCAAGCGAAAAUUAUACUUAUGAUACGUUUACAACUUUAGUAUUGUAAAAUGUCACCGAAUUAUUUUUUACUAUAUUGCAAUUUUAUCAAUAAUAAAAUGUAUAAAAAGUAAUAAUGUA